GUGAUUAAAUCGAGCGGUGUCUUCAUUGACCGCUCACCCUUCUCACCAUCCACAUACACCUGGUGCACUGUUUAGACCUGAGCCGGCUUUCCGGUCCAGGUUAUUCAUUUCAUACAAACUCUAGUCUUAUGAAUGUAAACGUUUUUAAUAACAUAUA
rnacentral:misc_RNA from 1 species